CGGGGUUUCUAGAAUGCGGCUUUAAUUUGUCUGACCUUGAAAGGUGUAUUACCUUGAAAAAUUAUACUGUAUCUUUUUCCUUAGACUUCUCUCCCAUUCACCUAUUUGAUUGUUGAUUUUGAUUUUAAUGCUAGAUCUGUGUCUUGAGAUUGACCUUGUUUGUUGUUUGAUCGUGUUCUUCUGGCAUUCAUAUUUUUCGAUGUUCACCAUAUCCGAAUCAUCAAUGGUACGGCCUACCUAAUAUUGUUUUGAACUUAAUCAGUCCAUAUCAUUAUCUUCCCACCAUUUUACUCCAUAAUCACAUAGGGUCGGAAAGUCUCGUCAUGUGACUCGCGAGAAAUAACGUGAAAUCGUACUUCCGGGCAGUUGUCAGGACGGCAUUAUCAAUAAUGUACUAGACUCGCUACGUUCAAAACCACAUAGAGCUUACUACAAAAAGCGAGAGAGCGGUGGAUAACAACUGGGUUUGGAAAAUUUGUUCUAGAAAGAGCUCUGAGUUAUUACAGCAGUUGUUCAAGCGUCAAUACGAGACAUUUUCCAACAAAGUACAGAUAUAAAAGGGCAAACAAUACAGUUGGAUAAAGCAUCCUAAGUCUGCACCUCGUAAAGCUAUGACAAUGAGAGAAAUGUAUCCAUCCAGGCAAUCAGAAUAUAGAGUGCAACCCGGAAGGUGCGCAGCAGCUCAAAGAGAGCCAUGGUUAUUGGCAUCAAGUUCUCCAUCAGCUUUACCUCACAGGCACCACUUGUGAUUUCAUAGUUUGAACACCAAUGAACAUGGAAGUGAUUCUCAUCCUUCGAGAUGAAUUAUGGGAAUUAUACUUGGCAUACAUGAUUGAGCCUUUGUGCCCUCUCUGCAAUAACCAACUAGACAAACUUGUGAAAAUUCAAAUGUCUUCCAUUAGUUUUAUUUUGUUUUUGCUACAAUUGAUCAGUGUAAAGAUGUGCAUGAAUCAUCAUUGUAACAAUUUCUUUGACUAGCAACCUUAAAUAAAUGUUCACUUUAUCA